ACAGCAGCCGCCGCGGGAAUACGUAGGGUGCAAGCGCUAAUCGGAAUUACUGGGCGUAAAGCGUGCGUAGGCGGUGAGUUAAGUCUGCUGUGAAAUCCCCGGGCUCAACCUGGGAAUGGCAGUGGAUACUGGCUCGCUAGAGUGUGUCAGAGGAUGGUGGAAUUCCCGGUGUAGCGGUGAAAUGCGUAGAGAUCGGGAGGAACAUCAGUGGCGAAGGCGGCCAUCUGGGACAACACUGACGCUGAGGCACGAAAGCGUGGGGAGCAAACAGGAUUAGAUACCCCAGUAGUCCCUGUCUCUUAUAC
rnacentral:rRNA from 1 species